rnacentral:rRNA from 1 species
UACACGACCGUACCGCAAACCGACACUGGUGCGCGAGAUGAGUAUUCUAAGGCGCUUGAGAGAACUCAGGAGAAGGAACUCGGCAAAUUGACACCGUAACUUCGGAAGAAGGUGUGCCUUUAGUAGGUGAACCAUUUACUUGGGGAGCCCAAUGAGGCUGCAAAAAAUCGGUGGCUGCAACUGUUUAUUAAAAACACAGCACUCUGCUAAGACGAAAGUCGACGUAUAGGGUGUGACGCCUGCCCGGUGCUGGAAGAUUAAAUGAUGGGGUGCAAGCUCUUGAUUGAAGUCCCAGUAAACGGCGGCCGUAACAAUAACGGUCCUAAGGUAGCGAAAUUCCUUGUCGGGUAAGUUCCGUCCUGCACGAAUGGCGUAAUGAUGGCCACACUGUCUCCUCCUGAGACUCAGCGAAGUUGAAAUGUUUGUGAUGAUGCAAUCUCCCCGCGGAAAGACGGAAAGACCCCAUGAACCUUUACUGUAGCUUUGUAUUGGACUUUGAACAGAUCUGUGUAGGAUAGGUGGGAGGCUUUGAAGUGUGGUCGCUAGAUCGCAUGGAGCCAACGUUGAAAUACCACCCUGGUGUGUUUGGGGUUCUAACCUAGGUCCAUUAUCUGGAUCGGGGACAGUGCAUGGUAGGCAGUUUGACUGGGGCGGUCUCCUCCCAAAGUGUAACGGAGGAGUUCGAAGGUACGCUAGGUACGGUCGGACAUCGUGCUAAUAGUGCAAUGGCAUAAGCGUGCUUAACUGCGAGACUGACAAGUCGAGCAGAUGCGAAAGCAGGACAUAGUGAUCCGGUGGUUCUGUAUGGAAGGGCCAUCGCUCAACGGAUAAAAGGUACUCUGGGGAUAACAGGCUGAUACCGCCCAAGAGUUCAUAUCGACGGCGGUGUUUGGCACCUCGAUGUCGGCUCAUCUCAUCCUGGGGCUGUAGCCGGUCCCAAGGGUAUGGCUGUUCGCCAUUUAAAGAGGUACGUGAGCUGGGUUUAAAACGUCGUGGGACAGUUUGGUCCCUAUCUUCCGUGGGCGCUGCAGAUUUGAGGAAGCCUGCUCCUUACGAGAGGACCGGAGUGGACGAACCUCUGGUGUAUCGGUUGUCACGCCAGUGGCAUUGCCGGGUAGCUAAGUUCGGAAGAGAUAACCGCUGAAAGCAUCUAAGCGGGAAACUCGUUUCAAGAUUAGAUCUGCCGGGGCCUUGAGCCCCCUAAAGAGUCGUUCAAGACCAGGACGUUGAUAGGUCAGGUGUGGAAGUG